rnacentral:rRNA from 1 species
GGCGUUAAGUUGCAGGGUAUAGACCCGAAACCCGGUGAUCUAGCCAUGGGCAGGUUGAAGGUUGGGUAACACUAACUGGAGGACCGAACCGACUAAUGUUGAAAAAUUAGCGGAUGACCUGUGGCUGGGGGUGAAAGGCCAAUCAAACCGGGAGAUAGCUGGUUCUCCCCGAAAGCUAUUUAGGUAGCGCCUCGUGAAUUCAUCUCCGGGGGUAGAGCACUGUUUCGGCUAGGGGGCCAUCCCGGCUUACCAACCCGAUGCAAACUGCGAAUACCGGAGAAUGUUAUCACGGGAGACACACGGCGGGUGCUAACGUCCGUCGUGAAGAGGGAAACAACCCAGACCGCCAGCUAAGGUCCCAAAGUCAUGGUUAAGUGGGAAACGAUGUGGGAAGGCCCAGACAGCCAGGAUGUUGGCUUAGAAGCAGCCAUCAUUUAAAGAAAGCGUAAUAGCUCACUGGUCGAGUCGGCCUGCGCGGAAGAUGUAACGGGGCUAAACCAUGCACCGAAGCUGCGGCAGCGAACGUAUCACCCAAGACAACUUUACGGAGUUGACGAUUGACGGAGCGAAGCGACGUCAAAGCGUUCAUUAAAGUCGAGUUGGCUUAGGGAUACGUUCGUUGGGUAGGGGAGCGUUCUGUAAGCCUGUGAAGGUGUGUCGUGAGGCAUGCUGGAGGUAUCAGAAGUGCGAAUGCUGACAUAAGUAACGAUAAAGCGGGUGAAAAGCCCGCUCGCCGGAAGACCAAGGGUUCCUGUCCAACGUUAAUCGGGGCAGGGUGAGUCGACCCCUAAGGCGAGGCCGAAAGGCGUAGUCGAUGGGAAACGGGUUAAUAUUCCCGUACUUGGUGUUACUGCGAAGGGGGGACGGAGAAGGCUAUGUUGGCCGGGCGACGGUUGUCCCGGUUUAAGCGUGUAGGUGUGUGUUCCAGGUAAAUCCGGUUCACUUUAACACUGAGGCGUGACGACGAGGCACUACGGUGCUGAAGCAACAAAUGCCCUGCUUCCAGGAAAAGCCUCUAAGCAUCAGGUAACACGAAAUCGUACCCCAAACCGACACAGGUGGUCAGGUAGAGAAUACCAAGGCGCUUGAGAGAACUCGGGUGAAGGAACUAGGCAAAAUGGUGCCGUAACUUCGGGAGAAGGCACGCUGACACGUAGGUGAAGUGAUUUACUCAUGGAGCUGAAGUCAGUCGAAGAUACCAGCUGGCUGCAACUGUUUAUUAAAAACACAGCACUGUGCAAACACGAAAGUGGACGUAUACGGUGUGACGCCUGCCCGGUGCCGGAAGGUUAAUUGAUGGGGUCAGCGUAAGCGAAGCUCCUGAUCGAAGCCCCGGUAAACGGCGGCCGUAACUAUAACGGUCCUAAGGUAGCGAAAUUCCUUGUCGGGUAAGUUCCGACCUGCACGAAUGGCGUAAUGAUGGCCAGGCUGUCUCCACCCGAGACUCAGUGAAAUUGAACUCGCUGUGAAGAUGCAGUGUACCCGCGGCAAGACGGAAAGACCCCGUGAACCUUUACUAUAGCUUGACACUGAACAUUGAGCCUUGAUGUGUAGGAUAGGUGGGAGGCUUUGAAGUGUGGACGCCAGUCUGCAUGGAGCCGACCUUGAAAUACCACCCUUUAAUGUUUGAUGUUCUAACGUGGACCCGUAAUCCGGGUUGCGGACAGUGUCUGGUGGGUAGUUUGACUGGGGCGGUCUCCUCCUAAAGAGUAACGGAGGAGCACGAAGGUUGGCUAAUCCUGGUCGGACAUCAGGAGGUUAGUGCAAUGGCAUAAGCCAGCUUGACUGCGAGCGUGACGGCGCGAGCAGGUGCGAAAGCAGGUCAUAGUGAUCCGGUGGUUCUGAAUGGAAGGGCCAUCGCUCAACGGAUAAAAGGUACUCCGGGGAUAACAGGCUGAUACCGCCCAAGAGUUCAUAUCGACGGCGGUGUUUGGCACCUCGAUGUCGGCUCAUCACAUCCUGGGGCUGAAGUAGGUCCCAAGGGUAUGGCUGUUCGCCAUUUAAAGUGGUACGCGAGCUGGGUUUAGAACGUCGUGAGACAGUUCGGUCCCUAUCUGCCGUGGGCGCUGGAGAACUGAGGGGGGCUGCUCCUAGUACGAGAGGACCGGAGUGGACGCAUCACUGGUGUUCGGGUUGUCAUGCCAAUGGCACUGCCCGGUAGCUAAAUGCGGAAGAGAUAAGUGCUGAAAGCAUCUAAGCACGAAACUUGCCCCGAGAUGAGUUCUCCCUGAGACUU